UCAAGCGUUGUUCGGAUUCAUUGGGCGUAAAGGGUGUGUAGGUGGCGCCGUAAGUCGGGUGUGAAAUUUCGGAGCCUAACUCCGAAACUGCAUUCGAUACUGCGGUGCUUGAGGACUGGAGAGGAGACUGGAAUUCAUGGUGUAGCAGUGAAAUGCGUAGAGAUCAUGAGGAAGACCAGUGGCGAAGGCGAGUCUCUGGACAGUUCCUGACACUGAGACACGAAGGCCAGGGGAGCAAACGGG
rnacentral:rRNA from 1 species